rnacentral:rRNA from 1 species
UACGGGGGGGGCAAGCGUUGUUCGGAAUUACUGGGCGUAAAGGGCUCGUAGGCGGCCAACUAAGUCAGACGUGAAAUCCCUCGGCUUAACCGGGGAACUGCGUCUGAUACUGGAUGGCUUGAGUUCGGGAGAGGGAUGCGGAAUUCCAGGUGUAGCGGUGAAAUGCGUAGAUAUCUGGAGGAACACCGGUGGCGAAGGCGGCAUCCUGGACCGGUAUUGACGCUGAGGCGCGAAAGCUAGGGGAGCAAACGGG